GACGAACGCUGGCGGCGUGCUUAACACAUGCAAGUCGAACGGAAAGGCCCUGCUUUUGUGGGGUUCUCGAGUGGCGAACGGGUGAGUAACACGUGAGUAACCUGCCCUUGACUUUGGGAUAACUUCAGGAAACUGGGGCUAAUACCGGAUAGGAGCUCCUGCUGCAUGGUGGGGGUUGGAAAUUUUCGGCGGUUGGGGUUGGACUCGCGGCUUAUCAGCUUGUUGGUGGGGUAGUGGCUUACCAAGGCUUUGACGGGUAGCCGGCAUGAGAGGGUGACCGGCCACAAUAGGACUGAGAUACGGAGCAGACUGCAACGGGAGGCAGCAGUGGGAAGUAUUGCACAGUGAGCGGAAGCCUGAUGCAGAAGCGCCGCGUGCGGGAUGACGGCCUUCGGGUUGUAAACCGCAUUCGCCUGUGACGAAGCGUGAGUGACGGUAAUGGAUAAAGAAGCACCGGCUAACUACGUG
rnacentral:rRNA from 1 species